AUGGCCAUUAUCAAGCUCUUCGGUGAAGCCACGUGACUUAAGAUAAACCCAGCAAAAUCAUAUGUUGCCACGAUUCGUUGUAAGGGCUUAGACCUGCAGGACGUGCUCCAUGGUUUCAGAGGUAGAAUCGUAGGCUUCCCUAUGACUUAUCUAGGCCUGCCGAUCACCAUCUCUUUGCCGCUGGUUCAUCUUCAGUUCAUCCUCGACCGUAUCCGUGCGCGCCUAGCAGGCUGGAGGGGUCACCUGUUGUCCACAACCAGCAGAUUAGUGCUCGUCUAG
rnacentral:rRNA from 1 species